rnacentral:pre_miRNA from 1 species
AUCACUGUCGUCUCUAAUUCGCUUGGUGCAGGUCGGGAAUGCUUCGCUCUGUAGCUGCCGUCUCCUUCCUCUCGCAAGAUUCCAUUUCUUUACGGGCGAACGGAUUCCCGCCUUGCAUCAACUGAAUCGGAGAUGGCUGUGAAG